rnacentral:rRNA from 1 species
AACGAACGCUGGCGGCAGGCUUAACACAUGCAAGUCGAACGCAUCGCAAGAUGAGUGGCAGACGGGUGAGUAACGCGUGGGAACAUACCCUUUUCUACGGAAUAGCUCUGGGAAACUGGAAUUAAUACCGUAUACGCCCUACGGGGGAAAGAUUUAUCGGGGAAGGAUUGGCCCGCGUUGGAUUAGCUAGUUGGUGGGGUAAAGGCCUACCAAGGCGACGAUCCAUAGCUGGUCUGAGAGGAUGAUCAGCCACAUUGGGACUGAGACACGGCCCAAACUCCUACGGGAGGCAGCAGUGGGGAAUAUUGGACAAUGGGCGCAAGCCUGAUCCAGCCAUGCCGCGUGAGUGAUGAAGGCCUUAGGGUUGUAAAGCUCUUUCACCGAUGAAGAUAAUGACGGUAGUCGGAGAAGAAGCCCCGGCUAACUUCGUGCCAGCAGCCGCGGUAAUAC